rnacentral:lncRNA from 1 species
UUUCCUAAAGCUGGUAGUGGAACUGAAGCUGCUCAUGGACCCUCCAUCCUCAUUGCUGAGCCAAUCUUCAUUCUGACCAAAUAUGGUUCUUGUCCUUGUCCCUGAGCGUGGGUGCUCAUUCCUAUCUUCUAGAGACCUGCCUCCAGAGCACAGCCCAGCACUGGUUGGGAGACAGGACCUUCAUGGACACCUUGGAAUCCAGAUUCUGGAUUGACAUCUUGCUGCCCUGUUCAUGACUUGGCUGGACCAGAACAGUGGCCAUCCUGAGUCGCAGACCUCCUCUGUAAAGGAGAACACGCCUGUAAAGGGU